UAUCCCGUCUAUCACACAACGACAUUACUACAACAAAUCCAAUUGACAACAGAGACAUUCUUCAAAGGACCAAGGACUCCUUUGGUCAACACCGCCUUCCAUCUAGCACCAAUCUACCGAAGCCCAGCUCAGAACUACCAUACUAGACCAGUGCUUCUCUACUGAUGCUCUCUGCCCCUGAAAUCUGCUCUGGUGUCCGGACAACAGAUCGGCAUGCCAUGUUAACUAGGCAA